CAUGUGUUUUGUCAUCCAGGCUGUAACAGCAGAAGGGCAACCAUCUCUGCUUUUUGCUGUUAUCACAAGAAUAGAGAUUUUCCUUUCAUAGAGUCAGGAAACUCAGUAUUUGAGAUUUGCGUGCUUUGUGACUUGAGCUGCAUGUUGGUGUGCAGGAGCCCAAAGCCUUCCUGCAAGCAUGUGGCAUCUCAGAAGAUAUUGGUGAAAAGAACCAUCAAUAAAACACAUCCUCCAGUUACAGAGGGGACACACCACUGUAUUCAUUUGCUUUGGGCCCCAGAAGAAGGAGCAGAUAGAAGAUCAUAAGGACGAUGGUUAUAAUACUCAGCUGAAGAAAGGAGAUCCAAUGUUGCAUGUUCACGGAGUCAUGUACAUAAGGGGACAUGGCAAGCCCUGGAUAACUGCAGAGCUGUUGCAUACCUAGGAAGCUGCCAUGUCUUCCUUCUUCAGAUCUAUCAUGUUGCGAUUUCUCAUAGAGAGAGAACGUCCAUGGAGGGAUAACACGCACAGCUUCUAUUGACUUCUCUGGGGCUGCGGAUUUUUUUUCCACCCUGCCUAUGUGUUAGGUAUGUCCCACAUAAGCUCUUGGCAAUUCUUGUAACAAACCAACACUUUCCAUGUGCUUAGAUGACACAUUCACUUUUUAGGUACUGUCACAAAUUAGUACAGAGACUCUGUUUCCCUUCCCUUUGAACUAAAUAUGGAGCGAUGGUGGUACUGAAACACCGAGUUUGCUGAUUCAAUUAUAAAGGCUGCAUCCUCUGAGCCUUUUCCUACAGGUGAACGUGUUUUCUAGUGACACAUAUAAUGUCCUUUGAAAACUUACAUAGGAAUGUUUGUCGCUAGGUGGCAGAAUUAGACUGUAUUAGUACUAACAUUUGUUAUGAUUUGUCCAGUUGACUUCUUUCUAUUCCAUAAAUACCUCUUUGACUAUACCCAGCAUUCAAAAUUAUCGAAAAGGUAAAAUAAAUUUUAAUAAAUGCAGCG